AUUGAACGCUGGCGGCAGGCUUAACGCAUGCAAGUCGAGCGGAGAUGAGGUGCUUGCACCUUAUCUUAGCGGCGGACGGGUGAGUAAUGCUUAGGAAUCUGCCUAUUAGUGGGGGACAACAUUCCGAAAGGAAUGCUAAUACCGCAUACGUCCUACGGGCGAACGCAGGGGAUCUUCGGACCUUGCGCUAAUAGAUGAGCCUAAGUCGGAUUAGCUAGUUGGUGGGGUAAAGGCCUACCAAGGCGACGAUCUGUAGCGGGUCUGAGAGGAUGAUCCGCCACACUGGGACUGAGACACGGACCAGACUCCUACGGGAGGCAGCAGUGGGGAAUAUUGGACAAUGGGGGGAACCCUGAUCCAGCCAUGCCGCGUGUGUGAAGAAGGCCUUAUGGUUGUAAAGCACUUUAAGCGAGGAGGAGGCUACUGAGACUAAUACUCUUGGAUAGUGGACGUUACUCGCAGAAUAAGCACCGGCUAACUCUGUGCCAGCAGCCGCCGUAA
rnacentral:rRNA from 1 species